rnacentral:rRNA from 1 species
AACGAACGCUGGCGGCAGGCUUAACACAUGCAAGUCGAACGCCCGUAGCAAUACGGGAGUGGCGGACGGGUGAGUAACGCGUGGGAACGUGCCCUGAGGUACGGAAUAACUGCGGGAAACUGCAGCUAAUACCGUAUGAGCCCCGCAAGGGGGAAAGAUUUAUCGCCUUAGGAGCGGCCCGCGUCGGAUUAGCUAGUUGGUGGGGUAACGGCUUACCAAGGCGUCGAUCCGUAGCUGGUCUGAGAGGACGAUCAGCCACACUGGGACUGAGACACGGCCCAGACUCCUACGGGAGGCAGCAGUGGGGAAUCUUGCGCAAUGGGGGCAACCCUGACGCAGCCAUGCCGCGUGAAUGAUGAAGGCCGUAGGGUUGUAAAGUUCUUUUGCCCGUGACGAUGAUGACGGUAACGGGAGAAUAAGCUCCGGCUAACUUCGUGCCAGCCGCCGCUGUAAAAC